rnacentral:sRNA from 1 species
GGAGAAAUACUUCAUUGGUAAAUCAUUGAUUUCAACUAAAUGUACCCUAAAUGUUUGUUCUGUAUUAAUUUUGUCCUUGAUUAUUCAAAGUUUAUGUUAAGUUUCACUUUAAUAAUUACAAAAUUGAAAUAUCAAGAGAAAUGCUUCCUAAUUUAGGCCUGUCAGAAAAUGCCUUUGCCAGAAACAUUAUGUUUUUAUUUCGAUUGAUUUUCUUUUCAUAAAUGUCUGAUUGCCAAACUGCCUAAAUUCCAUAGAUUUUAUUUUUUUCUAUAUAAAAAUAAAUAACUGCUCGCCUUAUGAAAAUUGAGUACCAUUAAUCUUAUAAUAAAAAUGAAGGUAUUUUUUCUGUUGCAUCCUGUUGUGUGUUUCCCGGGGAGUUCUUAUUUGUAGGUCUCUCACAAUUAAAAGCAUUAGUGUCAGAAUUCAAUCACUUGAAGGUCAAAUUACAUAAAAGUGCCUAAAAAAGAAAAAAAAAACCCAAUCAAAUAAAAAAAAAAUAACACAGCUUUAACAGAGCUAUGACUGGAAAACCCUGUAUAGCCAACCAAUUCUUUUAUACAUGUAUAUCUGCUAUUUAUUUGAAAUCGGUUGCUGUUAUUUUUUAAAUCAAGAAAAAAAAACUGAGGCCUUGUUUAUGUCAUUAUGUUGGCUACUUUGGAAUUCACCAAAAUAUUACAGUAGCCAUCCCUUAUUAAUCAAACGGAGUGGUAGAAAAUGAAUUGUUGGUUAAAUACCGAGACAUGCUAUUAUUUUGGUAUCUUUUCUCAGUACAAACUUUACAUGUAUUUUGUUCCUUAUCAUUACUGACUUCUUUUAAAAUGUUGCUGCAGAAUUUAUUUCUGCUUUUAUAAAAUGUAAGGAUGGAGAGGACGUCAUUUAUGGGUGAGAGCCCGUAAGUAGAGCAACUAUGGUACUCUUGUAUACUAUUACUGUUUUUAACCAUGUGUUAGUUACUCUGUUCACUUCAUUGAAACAAAAUGUAAUUUAUGAAUUUGUUCAUUUUUUGCGAAAAUAAACUACAGCAAAUAUUUUGCUAAAUUUU